rnacentral:rRNA from 1 species
UACGUAGGGGGCAAGCGUUAUCCGGAUUUACUGGGUGUAAAGGGAGCGCAGACGGCAGUGCAAGUCUGGAGUGAAAGCCCGGGGCUCAACCCCGGCGAGCCGUUGAAACUGGCGGGCUGGAGUUGGAGAGAAGUACGCGGAAUGCGCGGUGUAGCGGUGAAAUGCAUAGAUAUCGCGCAGAACUCCGAUUGCGAAGGCAGCGUACCGGCGCCAGACUGACGCUGAGGCACGAAAGCGUGGGGAUCGAACAGG